GAUGAACGCUGGCGGCGUGCCUAAUACAUGCAAGUCGAGCGAACAGACAAGGAGCUUGCUCCUUUGACGUUAGCGGCGGACGGGUGAGUAACACGUAGGUAACCUACCUAUAAGACUGGGAUAACUUCGGGAAACCGGAGCUAAUACCGGAUAAUAUUUCGAACCGCAUGGUUCGAUAGUGAAAGAUGGCUUUGCUAUCACUUAUAGAUGGACCUGCGCCGUAUUAGCUAGUUGGUAAGGUAACGGCUUACCAAGGCAACGAUACGUAGCCGACCUGAGAGGGUGAUCGGCCACACUGGAACUGAGACACGGUCCAGACUCCUACGGGAGGCAGCAGUAGGGAAUCUUCCGCAAUGGGCGAAAGCCUGACGGAGCAACGCCGCGUGAGUGAUGAAGGUCUUCGGAUCGUAAAACUCUGUUAUUAGGGAAGAACAAACGUGUAAGUAACUGUGCACGUCUUGACGGUACCUAAUCAGAAAGCCACGGCUAACUACGUG
rnacentral:rRNA from 1 species